GGAGCGCCUUCGUGCCCUUGGGCUGCGAGGGGUUGAGGCCCAGCCUGGGUCCCAACCAAAUCCACCCCACAACCCGUGGAAAGACAUGACCAUUCGUUGCUAAGGAUAAAGUACUUAAUCUCCCAGUAAAUUAAUUUUUCUAAAAUUACUCUCAGGUACCACAACUGGAGGUACUGCCUGUCGUGGAGCUGGGGGCAUCUGCUGCAGCAAGAAGUCUGGAGCCGUGAAGACCUUGUCGGAGAGGGUCACGGAUUGCUUGCCCUUGCCAAACUAAACAAGGAUAUCUCUCCCUCUGGAUUUGUAUUUUCUCCAUUAAACUUAACAAAGUGAAUAAUAAGAAAGAAACUAGACCCAUAAUGUGAAGAGCACAAAGGCACUGCGACCUUGUUCGCUUUUAGCAUUCAUCUUGUUUCUGGAGUUGAGAUACCCAAGCCUGUUUGAGGCACAAGAACCUCUUUUCGGUUUGGGGUGUGUUACAGGCACUUUUGAAACCCUCAGACAUCAUUGUACUGGCAGAGGCAUCAAAAAUAUAUGAAAAAGUGAAACUUACUUUCUAAAAACAAAUCUUUUUAUCUAACUGAAGCCCAAGUGAGGCAGAGCGACUUUCUGAUUUUACCUAUGAUUACAUACACCCAUAGCAACAGGGCCUGCAGACUUAAAAUCUUUUUACAGUUAUCCUUUCCCAGCAUCCCAGGGAUGUACCCAGAUGCUGCUAGAACUUUUCAGCAGACAGGGAGUUUGCUGCAAGGGCCCUGACAAGGUAGGUGCUGCAGAACCUUGUUUUCAUGCUGUGGUCCCUGGGCAAUGUGCAGGAUUGUCUGCAUGGUGUGGACAGAGCGUAUAGCUUCUUAGAGGAGUUGCUCUUAGUCACUAUAAGUAAUUAAUAAGGACUUUUAUGUUUUGCCUCUUCCUGAAGUGUGAGCAUGGGUAGUUAAGCAUUUCAAUCUGCUUGUUGUCUAUAUAGUCUCUCUAUAUACACUAUACUGUAUUUAUGUUUUGUAUAUAUGUAUCCAGUAUACAUUAUGUAUCUUAUAUAUUUUAUAUAUACAUUUAUAUAACACAGGAAGCUAUAAAUACUAAAUACUAUAGAGGAAGCAUAAAAUACUAAAUAUGAAUGUUAUCUAGAGAAAACAACUUUUUUUUUUCUUACAAUAAUGGUGUUUUAUUGAGGAAAGUGUUAGCACAGAAUGUUUUCAUUCCCUCAGAGGUGUUCCAGUUUUUCAGAGAAGCUAAAAUCCAAAUUAAUUGAUUUUGAUAAAAAAAAUCAAGUAUAAGAAAGUAAUUUACUCGGAACAGAUUUGAUAAGAAUCUUUUACUGUGUGAAUUGACUUUUAUUUUACUACAUCUAAUGCGUUUAAAAAAAAAAAAAAGCUCCCAAGUUUCAUCUGAAAUAAAUUAGAAUGUUUAGAUCAACCCAAACAAAAACAACUUUUACUGGGUCUUUGCAGAAUUGAAUGCUGAAAUUUAUCUGUAGCAAAUAGUGAAGAUAUAACACCUCCCUGUUUGGGAAGAGUGCAGAACAUUGAUGGCUUCUUUAUCUACAGACCAUAUUGCCUGCAGUUUCCCAAUCCUUAAAAAUAAAAAUCAUAUUAAAGACAAGAUGUGAAAGCACAAACAUCACCACAGUACCACAGAAAGCAGACAGCAAUAUUGAAAAAUAAAUUUAUGGUCCAUGCUUGCUUGAUAAAAAACAGGGAGGCUGUCGGAGAAGAAAACAAAACAUUGGAAGGUUUUUCCCACGCCAUGGGACUGCUGGCUAGUCUGAUAGCUUUGGUCUGUUCCAGGAUGGUGUAGGGAAUUGUCAUUUCCUGAAUUUGUAUCUCAGUGAGGGAAGGUAACUGUGACACCUCAUCAGGUUGGGCUCUAAUUUUCUGAUCACCACAGGAAUUUUAUUCUGUUUCUUGGUGUUCCUUAAUGUGCCUUCUCAGAACUAGUGAAUCUCAGCUUCUUUUUGUAUGAACAUGGGCAGAACACCUUUUCUGCUAAAAAUGCCCAUAAGAUAGCACACAGUGAGCUAAAUGAAUGAACUGAUUAUGACUGAAAGGAUUUCACAUCGUUUUCCCAGAAAUAAAUCAUUUUUUCCUGCCUAAUGCUGUUCCAAAAUACAUUAAGAUAAAGAGGCUUCAUAGUUUGUUUGGAAGGUUGUCAGACAACAUCUUCCCAAAGCAGCAAUCUGAAAUUAAGAAACCUCCCCAAGAAGUUUGUUCAUCGUCUGGCUGGGGGCUCAUUUUAUCCUUGGGAUGCAGCUGCCACGUCAAUCUGGACUUUGUACAUCUCUCUUCUUCCCAUCAGUGCUGGAUCAACAGUCAUGUCAAAACUAUAAAGCUGUGUGUGAACUGUCAGAAGAGAAGCCUGGUUUCUUUUCUGGAUCCUGGAUUGGCAGAAUUAUUGUCUUGACUUGAAGAGUGCCUGGAGAUACCUCAGGGGCCUUGCACAGUACCUCCUCAGUAAAAGCUUAUGGUCUAUUGUGCAAGAGGGACAAAUGUGGGCAGGAGAAUGGAGACAUCACUUGUCCUGGGCUACACGAUAUGCUACCCAUUCAUGCCAACUGUUCAUUUAAAUUCAUCAAAACACAAGAAAGCUUACUGCAAGAGAGGACAUGCAUUUGAUUGGGACCCUUCUGUACAACAAACAGAGACAAGAAGAACUGAAAGUGCAAUGGAAGAAUCUGGAGUCAGACGAACCACAGUUAUGAUAGAUGGACACGCAGAGGGUUCUUGUUCAUGGCCAUUUACUCAGACAGUGAUGGAGCUGGGAAGUGGAUCCAUAUGUCUUGGCUGCCAGUCUUGCGUUCACUUGGUCAUCUAUCACUGGUCUCCUUUUGUCGUAGUUU